rnacentral:lncRNA from 1 species
GACUUUAUAAAGAUGACCACAGAACGUGUAUGUGUUUCCAUUGGAGUGCUGCUGUUUGCCUUUUUGUCUUUCUCCAUUGUUCAAGGUGCCAGCAGCCAUCACUGAGCGGAUGCAUGAGGAACCCAUGGAGGAUUCAGUCACGGUUUCACACUGUUCUCAAAGGCUUGUCCCUCCCUCCCAAUAGCAUACAAAGUUAUAACUACCGUGAUGGUCACACCACCAACCGGCCGAGUAUGAACCCAGCGGAGGGCAGUGGAGCUGGUUUCAACGUGGGCGGUCUGAAGUCUGUCCUGCAGAACGCCGUGUCCCCAGCCUUCGGCGCCACCAUCAUCAUCAUCAUCACUGUUAUCGUGUCAGGGAGCGCCUACCUCUGUUUCCUCAAGUACAUCUGUGCAGGCUGCUGCAAACCCACACAGGUGGCCCCGGUCACACAACUAGACCCAAACAAGAGUGAGGAGCAGGUGUAGCGGAGUCUGUCAAGUUUCAAGUUUUUAUUGUCACGUGUACUAGUACAAUGAAAUUCCUUUCUUGCUUGUUCUUUUCCAACAAUGCAGUAAUCAAUAUCAGUAAUACUAUAAAAUGAAUUUUAAAAAGUUAAGUGGAACAAAAUCACAAAAUAAGAACACAAGAAAGUAAGUAAGCUAUAUACAGGGUCAGUUCCAGAGUUAGUGCCAAUACUAUUGACAAUGUGUAGGGCAGUGGCUACGCAUCAUUCAGGGCAGAGACCCAACUGUUUGGAGGCACCCCAUUUUUUUGCCUGUUUUGCAUGUUAUUUUGGCAUUAAUAAGUGUCACAUAUCAGUUUGCAAACAAUGUAAAACAUAAAUAAUCAUUGAGUUAAUAAAGCCGCAUACCAACAUGGUUUCUUUUUUGCUUUCUUGAGUAAGGCAGCUCCAAAAUGCAGGGGUUUUAGCUAGAGGUCGACCGAUUAAUUGGAAUGGCCGAUUAAUUAGGGCCGAUUUCAAAUUUUCAUAACAAUCGGUAAUCAGCAUUUUUUUGGACACCGAUUAUGGCCGAUUACCUUGCACUCCACGAGGAGACUGCGUGGCAGGCUGACUACCUGUUAUGCGAGUGCAGUAAAGAGCCAAGGUAAGGUGCUAGCUAAACUCAUAAAAAACAAUCAAUCUGAACA